AUGUUGAAUGCAGGCACAAUGAGCGUAGGUCACUCAAUCUUCAAACCUCCAGUGUUUGAUGGCAACAACUACGCAUAUUGGAAAGAGCGGAUGAGAGUUUUCAUCCAAGCAUACGACUUUCGUCUCUGGCAAAUCAUAAAGUUUGGUAAACUAAUGACUAAACAAGUCGGAAAAGCCAUGGUAAGAGAAUACAACACCAAGGCGAUAAAAAUGUUGUAUAGCUCUUUAAAUCAGGAUGAAUGUCGGAAAGUUUCACACUGCAAAUCUACCAAAGAAGUGUGAAACAAACUUGAGGAUAUUUAUGAACACACUCCUCAAGAAACGAGCUGUUCGUGUGAUGAACAAAAUACACGAUGCUUCAUGGCCGACAAAGAAGAAGAGGUAAGUACUU
rnacentral:lncRNA from 1 species